GGGCGUUAAGUUGCAGGGUAUAGACCCGAAACCCGGUGAUCUAGCCAUGGGCAGGUUGAAGGUUGGGUAACACUAACUGGAGGACCGAACCGACUAAUGUUGAAAAAUUAGCGGAUGACCUGUGGCUGGGGGUGAAAGGCCAAUCAAACCGGGAGAUAGCUGGUUCUCCCCGAAAGCUAUUUAGGUAGCGCCUCGUGAAUUCAUCUCCGGGGGUAGAGCACUGUUUCGGCUAGGGGGCCAUCCCGGCUUACCAACCCGAUGCAAACUGCGAAUACCGGAGAAUGUUAUCACGGGAGACACACGGCGGGUGCUAACGUCCGUCGUGAAGAGGGAAACAACCCAGACCGCCAGCUAAGGUCCCAAAGUCAUGGUUAAGUGGGAAACGAUGUGGGAAGGCCCAGACAGCCAGGAUGUUGGCUUAGAAGCAGCCAUCAUUUAAAGAAAGCGUAAUAGCUCACUGGUCGAGUCGGCCUGCGCGGAAGAUGUAACGGGGCUAAACCAUGCACCGAAGCUGCGGCAGCGAACGUAUCACCCAAGACAACUUUACGGAGUUGACGAUUGACGGAGCGAAGCGACGUCAAAGCGUUCAUUAAAGUCGAGUUGGCUUAGGGAUACGUUCGUUGGGUAGGGGAGCGUUCUGUAAGCCUGUGAAGGUGUGUCGUGAGGCAUGCUGGAGGUAUCAGAAGUGCGAAUGCUGACAUAAGUAACGAUAAAGCGGGUGAAAAGCCCGCUCGCCGGAAGACCAAGGGUUCCUGUCCAACGUUAAUCGGGGCAGGGUGAGUCGACCCCUAAGGCGAGGCCGAAAGGCGUAGUCGAUGGGAAACGGGUUAAUAUUCCCGUACUUGGUGUUACUGCGAAGGGGGGACGGAGAAGGCUAUGUUGGCCGGGCGACGGUUGUCCCGGUUUAAGCGUGUAGGUGUGUGUUCCAGGUAAAUCCGGUUCACUUUAACACUGAGGCGUGACGACGAGGCACUACGGUGCUGAAGCAACAAAUGCCCUGCUUCCAGGAAAAGCCUCUAAGCAUCAGGUAACAUCAAAUCGUACCCCAAACCGACACAGGUGGUCAGGUAGAGAAUACCAAGGCGCUUGAGAGAACUCGGGUGAAGGAACUAGGCAAAAUGGUGCCGUAACUUCGGGAGAAGGCACGCUGACACGUAGGUGAAGUGAUUUACUCAUGGAGCUGAAGUCAGUCGAAGAUACCAGCUGGCUGCAACUGUUUAUUAAAAACACAGCACUGUGCAAACACGAAAGUGGACGUAUACGGUGUGACGCCUGCCCGGUGCCGGAAGGUUAAUUGAUGGGGUCAGCGCAAGCGAAGCUCCUGAUCGAAGCCCCGGUAAACGGCGGCCGUAACUAUAACGGUCCUAAGGUAGCGAAAUUCCUUGUCGGGUAAGUUCCGACCUGCACGAAUGGCGUAAUGAUGGCCAGGCUGUCUCC
rnacentral:rRNA from 1 species